UGGGGAAUUUUGCGCAAUGGGCGAAAGCCUGACGCAGCAACGCCGCGUGGGUGAUGAAGGUCUUCGGAUUGUAAAACCCUGUCGUCGGGGACGAAGGGUGGCGUGUUAAUAGCACGUUACUUUGACGGUACCCGGAGAGGAAGCCCCGGCUAACUCUGUGCCAGCAGCCGCGGUAAUACAGAGGGGGCAAGCGUUAUUCGGAAUUAUUGGGCGUAAAGGGCGCGUAGGCGGUUUCUUAAGUGAGAUGUGCAAUCCCCGAGCUUAACUUGGGAACUGCAUCUCAGACUGGGAGGCUAGAGUACUGGAGAGGUUGGUGGAAUUCCACGUGUAGCGGUGAAAUGCGUAGAGAUGUGGAGGAACACCAGUGGCGAAGGCGGCCAACUGGACAGUAACUGACGCUGAGGCGCGAAAGUGUGGGUAGCAAACAGGAUUAGAUACCCGCGUAGUCC
rnacentral:rRNA from 1 species